rnacentral:rRNA from 1 species
GACGAACGCUGGCGGCGCGCCUAACACAUGCAAGUCGAACGAGCGAGAGAGAGCUUGCUUUCUCGAGCGAGUGGCGAACGGGUGAGUAACGCGUGAGGAACCUGCCUCAAAGAGGGGGACAACAGUUGGAAACGACUGCUAAUACCGCAUAAGCCCACAGCUCGGCAUCGAGCAGAAGGGAAAAGGAGUGAUCCGCUUUGAGAUGGCCUCGCGUCCGAUUAGCUGGUUGGUGAGGUAACGGCCCACCAAGGCAACGAUCGGUAGCCGGACUGAGAGGUUGAACGGCCACAUUGGGACUGAGACACGGCCCAG